AUUGAACGCUGGCGGCAGGCUUAACACAUGCAAGUCGAGCGGUAACACUUCGGGUGACGAGCGGCGGACGGGUGAGUAAUACAUAGGAAUCUGCCUAGUAGUGGGGGAUAACGUAGGGAAACUUACGCUAAUACCGCAUACAUCCUACGGGGGAAAGCAGGGGAUCUUCGGACCUUGCGCUAUUAGAUGAGCCUAUGUCGGAUUAGCUAGUUGGUGGGGUAAAGGCCUACCAAGGCGACGAUCGGUAACUGGUCUGAGAGGAUGAUCAGUCACACUGGAACUGAGACACGGUCCAGACUCCUACGGGAGGCAGCAGUGGGGAAUAUUGGACAAUGGGGGCAACCCUGAUCCAGCCAUGCCGCGUGUGUGAAGAAGGCCUCGG
rnacentral:rRNA from 1 species